GGGGCCCCUCUUCUUUCCAGCCCUUCUCCUGUGUGCCUGCCUCCUGCCGCCGCCACCAUGACCACCUCCAUCCGCCAGUUCACCUCCUCCAGCUCCAUCAAGGGCUCCUCUGGCCUGGGGGGCGGCUCGUCCCGCACCUCCUGCCAGCUGUCUGGCGGCCUGGGUGCCGGCUCCUGCAGGCCGGGAUCUGCUGGUGGCCUGGGCAGCGCCCUCGGGGGUAGCAGCUACUCCAGCUGCUACAGCUUUGGCUCUGGCGGUGGCUAUGGCAGCAGCAGCUUUGAGGGCGUUGAUGGGCUGCUGGUCGGAGGUGAGAAGGCCACCAUGCAGAACCUCAAUGACCGCCUGGCCUCCUACCUGGACAAGGUGCGUGCCCUGGAGGAGGCCGACACUGAGCUGGAGGUAAAGAUCCGUGACUGGUACCAGAGGCAGGCCCCGGGGCCCGCCCGUGACUACAGCCAGUACUACAGGAUAAUCGAGGAGCUGCAGAACAAGAUCCUCACAGCCACCGUGGACAAUGCCAACAUCCUGCUACAUAUUGACAAUGCCCAUCUGGCUGCUGCUGACUUCCGCACCAAGUUUGAGACAGAGCAGGCCCUGUGCCUGAGUGUGGAGGCCGACAUCAAUGGCCCGUGCAGGGUGCUGGAUGAGCUGACCCUGGCCAGAGCCGACCUGGAGAUGCACAUUGAGAACCUCAAGGAGGAGCUGGCCUACCUGAAGAAGAACCACGAGGAGAUGAACGCCCCGCGAGGCCAGGUGGGCGGUGAGAUCAAUGUGGAGAUGGGCGCUGCCCCAGGUGUGGACCUGAGCCGCAUCCUGAAUGAGAUGCGUGAGCAGUAUGAGAAGAUGGCAGAGAAGAACCGCAAGGAUGCCGAGGAUUGGUUCUUCAGCAAGACAGAGGAGCUGAACCGCGAGGUGGCUACCAACAGUGAGCUGGUCCAGAGCGGCAAGAGCGAGAUUUCGGAGCUCCGGUGCACCAUGCAGGCCUUGGAGAUCGAGCUGCAGUCCCAGCUCAGCAUGAAAGCAUCCCUGGAGGGCAACCUGGCGGAGACAGAGAACCGCUACUGCAUGCAGCUGUCCCAGAUCCAGGGGCUGAUCGGCAGUGUGGAGGAGCGGCUGGCCCAGCUUCUCUGCGAGAUGGAGCAGCAGAACCAGGAGUACAAGAUCCUCCUGGACAUGAAGAUGCGGCUGGAGCUGGAGAUCACCACCUACCACCGCCUGCUGGAGGGCGAGGAUGCCCACCUGACUCAGUACAAGAAAGAACAUAAGCAUCUUGGUGGCUGAGGCCUUGGGGAUUGGGUGCAAGGGACAGGCAGCCCACCUGCACGUUGCUGGGGCUGAGUCCCCAGGAGUUCUAGGAGUUGAUGGCUGUCCCUCAGCAGGGGUGGGAGAAGUGACCCAUUAGCACUGAGGAUUGAUACUCAGGAAAAGAUCAAAUGAGAGAGAUGCUGUCUGCUCUGAUGGGGUGGGCCAGGGAACUGGUCCUUACCUUGGAGAUCCUAGUCUGAUGGAGGAGACAUGUCCCAGCUCUGGAGAUUGUCAUCUGAUGGGAAGAUAGGAACAUGGUCUCAUGAUCUUUGCUCUUGACAGCUUUCGGAUGAGCGAAAGCAGUCCUGUCUCUGGGGUCUCUAGCCUGAUGGGAAAUAGGGACCUGGUCCUUGUCCUCCAAAUUCCAGUCUGAUGGAGAAGAUAUGAUUCUAGCCCCAGGGUUCCUAGUCUAAUGGAGGAGAUAGGGGCCUGGUUUUUGUCUUGGCGAUCCCAGUCUGAUGGGGGAGAUGGGAGCAAAUCUAUGUCCUGGAGACUGCAGAGAAAUGGAGAUGGAUUUCAUGGAGUCUACAUGGCUCCUCCCUGGCAGGACACACUGGGUCAGAAUCAAAUAACCCAUCUGCGGAGGCAAGACUCACACAGGGCCACCGGCAGAGGGAUGGGAUGGAAGGGAGGCGGUGGCAGGGACAGGAGGGAUGUGUGUGCAGUGUGAUGUUGAGGUGCCAGUGGAGGCACUCACAGCACCUGGGGGAGGACGAGGGAGAGAGCCGGCUCCUGUCCAUGAGGGCUAGGGGGCAAGCGAGGGCCUCCUGGCCCCUACCCACUUUAAAUUGCCUGCUUCUCCUGCAGCGGUGACCACCUGUCAGGUGCCUACCAUUGUGGAAGAGGUCCAGGAUGGUAAGGUCAUCUCCUCCCGCGAGCAGGUCCGCCAGACCACCCGCUGAGCACUCAGCUUUCCUGGCCGGCCCCCCAGGAGGCAGGGAGGCAGCGGUCCCAUCUGCCCCGCGGUCUCCGGCCUCUCCACCCUCAGCCCCCUGCUUCAGUCCCUUCCC